rnacentral:rRNA from 1 species
GACGAACGCUGGCGGCGUGCCUAAUACAUGCAAGUCGAACGCAGUGGGGACGGGUGAGUAACACGUGGGUAACCUCCCAUCAGAGGGGAUAACACUUGGAAACAGGUGCUAAACCGAUACUGAUGGAUGGACCCGCGGUGCAUUAGCUAGUUGGUGAGGUAACGGCUCACCAAGGCCACGAUGCAUAGCGGACCUGGGAGGGGGAUCGGCCAAAGUGGGACUGGGAAACGGCCCGAACUCCUACGGGAGGCAGCAGUAGGGAAUCUUCGGCAAUGAACGAAAGUCGGACCGGGCAACGCCGCGUGAGGAAAGAGGGUUUUCGGAUCGAAAGACUCUGUUGUUAGAAAAACGGUAUCUAACCAGAAAGCCACGGCUAACUACGUGCCAGCAGCCGCGGUAAUAC